rnacentral:rRNA from 1 species
UACGUAGGCAGCAAGCGUUGUUCGGAGUUACUGGGCGUAAAGGGUGCGUAGGCGGGUCUUUAAGUCAGGGGUGAAAUCCUGGAGCUCAACUCCAGAACUGCCUUUGAUACUGAGGAUCUUGAGUUCGGGAGAGGUGAGUGGAACUGCGAGUGUAGAGGUGAAAUUCGUAGAUAUUCGCAAGAACACCAGUGGCGAAGGCGGCUCACUGGCCCGAUACUGACGCUGAGGCACGAAAGCGUGGGGAGCAAACAGGG